rnacentral:rRNA from 1 species
UGGGGAAUAUUGCACAAUGGGCGAAAGCCUGAUGCAGCGACGCCGCGUGAGGGAUGACGGCCUUCGGGUUGUAAACCUCUUUCGGCAGGGACGAAGCGCAAGUGACGGUACCUGCAGAAGAAGCACCGGCUAACUACGUGCCAGCAGCCGCGGUAAUACGUAGGGUGCAAGCGUUGUCCGGAAUUACUGGGCGUAAAGAGUUCGUAGGCGGUUUGUCGCGUCGUUUGUGAAAACCAGCAGCUCAACUGCUGGCUUGCAGGCGAUACGGGCAGACUUGAGUACUGCAGGGGAGACUGGAAUUCCUGGUGUAGCGGUGAAAUGCGCAGAUAUCAGGAGGAACACCGGUGGCGAAGGCGGGUCUCUGGGCAGUAACUGACGCUGAGGAACGAAAGCGUGGGUAGCGAACAGG